rnacentral:rRNA from 1 species
UACAGAGGUCUCAAGCGUUGUUCGGAUUCAUUGGGCGUAAAGCGCGCGCAGGCGGCCUCCUAAGUCCGAUGUGAAAGCCCACGGCUCAACCGUGGAGGGUCAUUGGAAACUGGGGGACUUGAGUGCAGGAGAGAAGAGUGGAAUUCCACGUGUAGCGGUGAAAUGCGUAGAGAUGUGGAGGAACACCAGUGGCGAAGGCGACUCUUUGGCCUGUAACUGACGCUGAGGCGCGAAAGCGUGGGGAGCAAACAGG